UGGCCUUGGUGGGUACGCAGGCUGCACCCGCCAGAGGCCUCUGGGAGGCCGUCGCCACCGUGAGGAGCAGAGACCUGAACGCCAGAGGCCCGGUGACUCACUCGGCGCCGCAGCUGCUUGCUGCCCUGUGAAGCGGAGCUCGGGGCCAUUGGCCCACGGGACAUGGAAUUUGCAUUUUGAAUUAAGUGGAUCAUCAGACCCAAGGAAAUGAAACAUAAGUUGGAGGGAACUGUGGCCGGAGAGACUUCCAAAGUCCGAGGAAGAGCCUUAGCAACCCAGGCACGUCAGCGGGCAGACGAGUGCGUCAUGGAAAACUUGGAGGCUGGUGGCUGAGCCGCCUCUGCAGCAGAGCUGCGUCCCCACACGCCUGGAAAACAGCGUAAUGUAUUCCUGUCUGCAGCCCCGAGCGAAAGCUCAUUUCGCGUCUUGCGUCUCCAUUUCCUGAGGAUUAAUAAGUGUGGAGGGGGACUUGGGCUUCAUGCCGAAUAUUUAUUUAGUCAAUAUACACAUCAAUUUAGCAAAUUAGAGAUUGCAAGCCAUUUCUAAGCAAUGCUGUAAAAAUAAUAGCUGUACUUUAAACCUGUAAUGGAUUUUGGUGUGGGGGUGGCACCUACGUGCCUGGCACUUUAUGAGCAUAAAGUUUAGUUCUCCUUGAACUUCACCGAAUGUCUGAGUCAUCGUGGGUGUCUGUGAAGACAGCAGACACCGUGACACUGUCGUCCGGGUGCACGGAAGGGGUCUGGGGCGGGGGUCCUGAGAAGCUUGGAGAGGUUGAAGGGUGGGGGCCCCGGGGCAGGUGGCCCUGCAUUUAGACCAGGACCCUGACCCCCGCCCCCGGCUGCACGGGGGUCCAGGGCUCGGCUGGGGCACGCCGCCCUCUGGGGCUGGCGUCUCUGCGGUGGGGGCUGCUCUGGGUGUUUUCGAAGGAUGUUUCUAGCAGCAUCCCUGGCCUCCACGCGCCGGAUGCCGUUAACCCCAGACCCCUCCCCAGGUGUGACAACCAGCAAUGCCCCCCGACAUGGACAUGGGUGCCCUGGUUUGGGGAAGGGACAAAACCUUCCCUCCCUUGAGAACCACAGGUGUGGAGCAAAUUCUCAGACCCCCUGAGCCUCAGUUUCCUCGUGGAGACCCUGUUCUGUGAGCAGUCACGCCCUCCCCAGCCACCACCCACUGAGGCGGUGGCCGCAGCUCAGACCUCAUUGGUGGGGAAACGGGCUCGGCUCAGCAGGGGACAGGGACUUGAUCCGGGGUCCGGGGCUGGCAGAGGCCGAGCUGAGGGGUACAAGCCACGUCCUGGUUCUUGGGAAGAUGAGUGGCUUCCUGUCACCCCUCAGGCCUCUGCCCAAGUGUCACCUCCUCAGAAAGGCCCCCCAGUCUGCCUGGUGGGUGGGGGGCAGGGUUAACCCCUCACCCCACAGCUCUUUUCUCCACUGUGGUGCUCUUUCCAGGGCUGUGCCCAACGGACACCUGUGUGCAUGUUCUCUUGUUCUCCCCCCCGGAAGGCGGGCCCGCAAUGAGGCCUCUGAUUUUUAGCCUCUGGGCCCAUGGAUGUGGACCAUGUGCUGGCCGAUGAGAUAGGCUGAGGACCAGAGGAUGACACCACAGCUUCUGGGAUCCUCGGGUGAAGCAGACUCCUUGGGAGAGACAGACCGUGCACCAGUCAACGGGGGAAACAGAAGAUUUCCGAUCGGACACACCUGGCCGGGAGUGAGCGGGAGCAGGCUGGCUGGAGGCGGGGAGAGAGGCAAGCGCUCCCUGAGCAGGGAGUGAGGCCCACAGAGGGGUGGGAAGGGCUCGGGGGCAGAGGGAACAGCCAGUGCGAAGAGGAACGGGAGGACAGCCGGGAGUCUGGGAGGGGAGCAGGAGGGACACAGGUCCGCCCUGAUUUGCUCCUGUGGCUGAUGUUUUCGCUGCUACUCACGCAUCCUUGACAUUCUCCCGGUGGUGCCCAGCCACCUCCCGUGACCCCGGGGGCGGGAGGGCUCCCUCCGACCCCCCGAGCUUCUCUUCCCCCUGUGUGCAGGCUGUUUGCACCCCACAGCCCCUGGGGGUGCAGGUCUCAGCCCAUGGCCGCCUGGGUGGUGGGGAAACCCCUCAGUACCUGCCCUCUGGCCAGAGUGACCUCGGUCUCUCAGGGCCACAGGUGGUGUGCCCCAUGCUGGCCCUCAGAGCUCCAGCUGCCCCCGAGGGCCCCCUACCCAGCCCCCCUCCACCCAGGACUGCCUGGGCCAUUC